CACCACACUCUUCCGCUUCAGCUGUCUUUUUUGCCUCAUGGCUAUACCCACACUGACCACUCCUUCAAUGAAGACAGUAAUGAGAUCAUCUGCACACUCCACAGAGCUCCAGAGUUACUGUUCAUAGCAAAAGUGUAAUGCUGUCCUUGGAGAUUUUCACCUAAGACUGUGAGUGUGAGUGUGUAAUGGAUUUCAAAGUGUUUAAGUGUUCAGAGCACUCUACAGCCUGGUAAGGUGGCAAGUUUGAAAAGAGCAGCAGAAGGUAUCAGUACUGUAGUGUAACUUGUUCUUUUCCUUUCCUAACAGUGAACAGAGUGCCGAUUAUUAUCGACAGCUACGUCCACCCGGGGUGAAAGUAGUGUGGGAGACCAUCAGGACCCAGCUGGGUUUCCUUGGUCCAGAGGUUUGGAGAAACCUCUUCCUUUUCUUUCAUCACAGCUGUCCUGUGCCAGAUGUUCUGUUGACCCACUGAGAGAGGCGUGUUUGAGAAAGAUCAGGAAGACUGAAGCUCAUGGUAGGAAUGAAGGAGGACCUUGUGAGCUCCACCAGCAGCUCCCUCACAAGGAACUGUUCACAAGUCCACUGCAGGCACGCCCCAGAAGAUGGAUAAAGGCAGCGUUUCAUGAAGACACUGGAACCAAUCUAUCUUCAUAACAGCAGGAUAAAGACAUGGUGAUAAAUGAGUGUGUGGGCCGUCUGCUGAGGACCAGGAGCUCAGGACACUCAGACGGGGGCGUCGCAGCAGGAGUCACCGCGCACCACAAUCCUCUGCUGUUCUGAGAUGUCACACUCCUGCCUGCACAUAGAAACCACAGUGAAGUCAAAGUUCCACCUGCACCUCCACCUGUUCUUGCAACAGCAUGAACACUGACAGAGUGAGACAG